UACAGAGGUCUCAAGCGUUGUUCGGAAUCACUGGGCGUAAAGGGCUCGUAGGCGCCAACUAAGUCGGACGUGAAAUCCCUCGGCUUAACCGGGGAACUGCGUCCGAUACUGGAUGGCUUGAGUGUGGGAGAGGGAUGCGGAAUUCCAGGUGUAGCGGUGAAAUGCGUAGAUAUCUGGAGGAACACCGGUGGCGAAGGCGGCAUCCUGGACUACUACUGACGCUGAGGGAGCGAAAGCCAGGGGAGCAAACGGG
rnacentral:rRNA from 1 species